UACGGAGGGUGCAAGCGUUAUCCGGAUUUACUGGGUUUAAAGGGUGUGUAGGCGGACUAUUAAGUCAGUGGUGAAAUCCCGAGGCUCAACCUCGGAACUGCCUUUGAUACUAUUAGUCUUGAAUGUUGUUGAGGUGGGCGGAACGGGUCAUGUAGCGGUGAAAUGCAUAGAUAUGACCCGGAACACCGAUUGCGAAGGCAGCCCGCUAAGCCAACUAUUGACGCUGAGGCACGGAAAGC
rnacentral:rRNA from 1 species